rnacentral:rRNA from 1 species
ACUGAAUAGAUACCCGGGUAGUCCACGCCCUAAACGAUGUCUACUAGUUGUCGGGGAUUCAUUUCCUUGGUAAACGCAGCUAAACGCGUGAAGUAGACCGCCUGGGGAGUACGGCCGCAAGGUUAAAACUCAAAGGAAUUGACGGGGACCCGCACAAGCGGUGGAUGAUGUGGAUUAAUUCGAUGCAACGCGAAAACCUUACCUACGCUUGACAUGCCAGGAACUUUCCAGAGAUGGAUUGGUGCCCGAAAGGGAACCUGGACACAGGUGCUGCAUGGCUGUCGUCAGCUCGUGUCGUGAGAUGUUGGGUUAAGUCCCGCAACGAGCGCAACCCUUAUCCUUAGUUGCUACGCAAGGGCACUCUAGGGAGACUGCCGGUGACAAACCGGAGAAGGUGGGGAUGACGUCAAGUCCUCAUGGCCCUUAUGUGUAGGGCUUCACACGGUCAUACAAU